rnacentral:rRNA from 1 species
GAUGAACGCUGGCGGCGUGCCUAAUACAUGCAAGUCGAGCGAACAGACGAGGAGCUUGCUCCUCUGACGUUAGCGGCGGACGGGUGAGUAACACGUGGAUAACCUACCUAUAAGACUGGGAUAACUUCGGGAAACCGGAGCUAAUACCGGAUAAUAUAUUGAACCGCAUGGUUCAAUAGUGAAAGACGGUUUUGCUGUCACUUAUAGAUGGAUCCGCGCCGCAUUAGCUAGUUGGUAAGGUAACGGCUUACCAAGGCAACGGUGCGUAGCCGACCUGAGAGGGUGAUCGGCCACACUGGAACUGAGACACGGUCCAGACUCCUACGGGAGGCAGCAGUAGGGAAUCUUCCGCAAUGGGCGAAAGCCUGACGGAGCAACGCCGCGUGAGUGAUGAAGGUCUUCGGAUCGUAAAACUCCGUUAUUAGGGAAGAACAAAUGUGUAAGUAACUAUGCACGUCUUGACGGUACCUAAUCAGAAAGCCACGGCUAACUACGUG